UACAGAGGGUGCGAGCGUUGUCCGGAAUCACUGGGCGUAAAGGGCGCGUAGGUGGCGGCCCAAGUCUGUGGUGAAAGCUCGAUGCUUAACAUCGAGUCGGCCACGGAGACUGGGUUGCUCGAGCACUGUAGGGGCAGAUGGAAUUCCGGGUGUAGCGGUGGAAUGCGUAGAGAUCCGGAAGAACACCGGUGGCGAAGGCGGCUUUCUGGACAGAUACCGACGCUGAGGCACGAAAGCUAGGGGAGCAAACAGG
rnacentral:rRNA from 1 species